rnacentral:rRNA from 1 species
GAUGAACGCUGGCGGCGUGCUUAACACAUGCAAGUCGAACGAAGCGUCCCGCCCGAUGAAGUGGAGUGCUUGCACAAAGCAGAAUCAAUUGGGAUGACUUAGUGGCGGACGGGUGAGUAACGCGUGGGUAACCUGCCUUACACAGGGGGACAACAGUUGGAAACGACUGCUAAUACCGCAUAAGCGCACGGUAUCGCAUGAUACAGUGUGAAAAGAUUUAUCGGUGUAAGAUGGACCCGCGUCUGAUUAGAUAGUUGGUGAGGUAACGGCCCACCUAGUCGACGAUCAGUAGCCGGACUGAGAGGUUGAACGGCCACAUUGGAACUGAGAUACGGUCCAGACUCC